rnacentral:lncRNA from 1 species
CCUUUCAAAUAAACCCAACAUCAAGUAAAUCCCUCAUAAGUUAGUUUACUUUUCUCUUUAUUUCAUUGGUAACAGGAACGUACGUUUCUGAUAUAUCACUAUAUAAAAGUCUAUCCUGUUACCCUUUUGUCUAUCCUGUUACCAAUAUCAGUAUUGCACCUGCAAAUGCUUAAUUGGGAAGAUUAAGACGUUAUAACCUUAAGAUGAGUUCAAACAACGAAAUAUUUCAUUCGUUUUGCACCUAUGUCUUAAGAUAAAAAAAAAUAACGACGUUUUUGUCUACAAUUGUGUAUCCUGUUACUGUAAC